ACGGGGUGCAGCAGGCGCGAAAACUUCACACUGUGCGAAAGCACGAUGAGGGGAUCCCAAGUGCUGGCUCGUAAGAGUCAGCUGUUUUUUUGUCUAAAAAACAAAGAGAGUAAGAGCUGGGUAAGACGGGUGCCAGCCGCCGCGGUAAUACCUGCAGCUCAAGUGGUGGCCGCUAUUAUUGGGCCUAAAACGUCCGUAGCCGGUUUAGUAAAUGCCUGGGUAAAUCGUGUAGCUUAACUAUACGAAUUCCGGGUAGACUGCUAAACUUGAGAUCGGGAGAGGCUAGAGGUACUCCUGGGGUAGAGGUGAAAUUUUGUAAUCCUAGGGGGACCACCAGUGGCGAAGGCGUCUAGCUAGAACGAGUCUGACGGUGAGGGACGAAGCCCUGGGGCGCAAACCGGAUUAGAUACCCGGGUAGUCCAGGGUGUAAACGCUGCUCGCUUGAUGUUAGUUGGGCUCCGAGCCCAACUAGUGUCGGAGAGAAGUUGUUAAGCGAGCUGCCUGGGAAGUACGGUCGCAAGGCUGAAACUUAAAGGAAUUGGCGGGGGAGCACAGCAACGGGUGGAGCGUGCGGUUUAAUUGGAUUCAACGCCGGAAAACUCACCGGGGGCGACGGUUACAUGAAGGCCAGGCUGAUGACCUUGCCUGAUUUUCCGAGAAGUGGUGCAUGGCCGUCGUCAGUUCGUACCGUGAGGCGUUCUGUUAAGUCAGAUAACGAACGAGACCCUCAUCUUUAGUUGCAACUGGUAUGUCCGCAUAUUAGGCACACUAAAGAGACCGCUGGCGAUAAGUCAGA
rnacentral:rRNA from 1 species